rnacentral:rRNA from 1 species
GAUGAACGCUGGCGGCGUGCCUAAUACAUGCAAGUCGAGCGAACAGACGAGGAGCUUGCUCCUCUGAUGUUAGCGGCGGACGGGUGAGUAACACGUGGAUAACCUACCUAUAAGACUGGGAUAACUUCGGGAAACCGGAGCUAAUACCGGAUAACAUGUUGAACCGCAUGGUUCAACAGUGAAAGACGGUCUUGCUGUCACUUAUAGAUGGAUCCGCGCCGCAUUAGCUAGUUGGUAAGGUAACGGCUUACCAAGGCAACGAUGCGUAGCCGACCUGAGAGGGUGAUCGGCCACACUGGAACUGAGACACGGUCCAGACUCCUACGGGAGGCAGCAGUAGGGAAUCUUCCGCAAUGGGCGAAAGCCUGACGGAGCAACGCCGCGUGAGUGAAGAAGGUCUUCGGAUCGUAAAACUCUGUUAUUAGGGAAGAACAAAUGUGUAAGUAACUAUGCACGUCUUGACGGUACCUAAUCAGAAAGCCACGGCUAACUACGUGCCAGCAGCCGCGGUAAUACGUAGGUGGCAAGCGUUAUCCGGAAUUAUUGGGCGUAAAGCGCGCGUAGGCGGUUUUUUAAGUCUGAUGUGAAAGCCCACGGCUCAACCGUGGAGGGUCAUUGGAAACUGGAAAACUUGAGUGCAGAAGAGGAAAGUGGAAUUCCAUGUGUAGCGGUGAAAUGCGCAGAGAUAUGGAGGAACACCAGUGGCGAAGGCGACUUUCUGGUCUGUAACUGACGCUGAUGUGCGAAAGCGUGGGGAUCAAACAGG